ensembl:snoRNA SNORD24 Small nucleolar RNA SNORD24
UGCAGAUGAUGUAAACGAAUAUUUGCUAUCUUAACAGCAAUGUAGACAACUUCCACCAAGAUCGCUGAUGCA